AAGAAUAGCCUGUACUUUUUCUUCUGUCAUCUCCUCAGACUCUACUCCUUCUUCAAGUUGAAUGUCCUCAAAUAGAGAUUUGAGUUUUUCUUCUGUCAUCUCCUCAUCAGGACCAGAUUUUCCUUUCUCUUGCUGCUCAGAGCUGACUCUUACUUUUCUAGUAUGUUUCAGUGGCUCUGCUGGUUUAACAUCUUUUGGGACCCCAGCCAUACUUCCAAGGUAUCGAGGAUACUCACUCAGAUAUACAUUCUCCAACUGGCUCUCAUCUACAUCGACUGCUUCGGGCAUUUCUGUUAUAGGCAUUGAGUCUUCAAGUCUGCUGUCUUCUAAGGAAGUGUCUUCUGCAGUUACCACUGGAGGUCCAUCUGCUGAAUGCUCUACAUUUCCCCGGGAAGGCACUAUCCCAUCACUCAGUCUACUGGGGGUUCUAAAGGGAGAUUCUAUGCUAGAGGUAUCACUAAAAUAAUCAUCUUGCUGGAAAGGGGUGGGUGGUGUGUAGUGCAACCCUGUGGGAGUUUCCAGUUCCACUUGAAGGGAAGAAUAACCUAUGGAAGACAGUACAUUUGGACUGACUGGAAUGAAUUUCGAGUACAUCAAACAAAAACACAUGGAAUGACUUAAAUUAUAUCAGAGAGAAAAGUCAACAAUGGUCUGGUCUUGGUGAGGAAAGGAAGUUUUACAGAAUUUCAAUGAAGAGGAGAGACAGGAAAAAAAAAAACACAACGCAACCCAGCACAUUUUCUGAAUUAUUAGUCUACAAAACUAAAGCCUCGUUUUUCCAUCAGUCCAAGCAGACUUCGUUGUAACUGAAGGCGGGCCACCCCGGGAACUCUCGGACAACGACGUGUUUCUGGAGAGAAUUAAAGUGCUGUGUCUCCACUGUCUCCGUGUGACUCGACUGGGGUGACUUUGGUGAUAGUUCGUGCUUUGGAAAUGGCGACUGCUCACAAAGACCAACGGGAACGCUAGAAGACGGCAUUCUCCGCUCAUCGGCCAUUCUGACUGGGAUGUGCGACGCCGCCGCCGCCGAGCUCUCACUUCUCCUCGGAGAAUCACUGCAAAUGCUAGCAUCAACAGCAAGUACAGCAUGACCAAACCUGUAAUGCUACAGAGAAGGCGCAGAU